ACGCUGGCGGCGUGCUUAACACAUGCAAGUCGAACGAUGAUGCCCAGCUUGCUGGGCGGAUUAGUGGCGAACGGGUGAGUAAUACGUGAGUAACCUGCCCUUGACUCUGGGAUAAGCCUGGGAAACUGGGUCUAAUACUGGAUACUACCUCUUACCGCAUGGUGGGUGGUGGAAAGGGUUUUACUGGUUUUGGAUGGGCUCACGGCCUAUCAGCUUGUUGGUGGGGUAAUGGCUCACCAAGGCGACGACGGGUAGCCGGCCUGAGAGGGUGACCGGCCACACUGGGACUGAGACACGGCCCAGACUCCUACGGGAGGCAGCAGUGGGGAAUAUUGCACAAUGGGCGGAAGCCUGAUGCAGCGACGCCGCGUGAGGGAUGACGGCCUUCGGGUUGUAAACCUCUUUCAGUAGGGAAGAAGCGAGAGUGACGGUACCUGCAGAAGAAGCGCCGGCUAACUACGUGCCAGCAGCCGCGGUAAUACGUAGGGCGCAAGCGUUGUCCGGAAUUAUUGGGCGUAAAGAGCUCGUAGGCGGUUUGUCGCGUCUGCUGUGAAAGCCCGGGGCUCAACCCCGGGUCUGCAGUGGGUACGGGCAGACUAGAGUGCAGUAGGGGAGACUGGAAUUCCUGGUGUAGCGGUGAAAUGCGCAGAUAUCAGGAGGAACACCGAUGGCGAAGGCAGGUCUCUGGGCUGUUACUGACGCUGAGGAGCGAAAGCAUGGGGAGCGAACAGGAUUAGAUACCCUGGUAGUCCAUGCCGUAAACGUUGGGCACUAGGUGUGGGGGACAUUCCCACGUUUUCCGCGCCGUAGCUAACGCAUUAAGUGCCCCGCCUGGGGAGUACGGCCGCAAGGCUAAAACUCAAAGGAAUUGACGGGGGCCCGCACAAGCGGCGGAGCAUGCGGAUUAAUUCGAUGCAACGCGAAGAACCUUACCAAGGCUUGACAUUCACCGGACCGCCCCAGAGAUGGGGUUUCCCUUCGGGGCUGGUGGACAGGUGGUGCAUGGUUGUCGUCAGCUCGUGUCGUGAGAUGUUGGGUUAAGUCCCGCAACGAGCGCAACCCUCGUUCUAUGUUGCCAGCACGUGAUGGUGGGGACUCAUAGGAGACUGCCGGGGUCAACUCGGAGGAAGGUGGGGAUGACGUCAAAUCAUCAUGCCCCUUAUGUCUUGGGCUUCACGCAUGCUACAAUGGCCGGUACAAAGGGUUGCGAUACUGUGAGGUGGAGCUAAUCCCAAAAAGCCGGUCUCAGUUCGGAUUGAGGUCUGCAACUCGACCUCAUGAAGUCGGAGUCGCUAGUAAUCGCAGAUCAGCAACGCUGCGGUGAAUACGUUCCCGGGCCUUGUACACACCGCCCGUCAAGUCACGAAAGUUGGUAACACCCGAAGCCGGUGGCCUAACCCCUUGUGGAGG
rnacentral:rRNA from 1 species